rnacentral:misc_RNA from 1 species
AUGCCGCGGUGAAUACGUUCCCGGGCCUUGUACACACCGCCCGUCACACCACGAGAGUUUGUAACACCCGAAGUCGGUGAGGUAACCUUUAUGGAGCCAGCCGCCGAAGGUGGGACAGAUGAUUGGGGUGAAGUCGUAACAAGGUAGCCGUAUCGGAAGGUGCGGCUGGAUCACCUCCUUUCUAAGGAUUUUAACGGAAUAUAAGACCUUGGGUCUUAUAAACAGAACGUUCCCUGUCUUGUUUAGUUUUGAAGGAUCAUUCCUUCAAAACAUAGGAACACCUGCUAAACGCGCCACUUCCUGUGGCAACGCAUGUGUUAGCAUGUCCUAUGCGUUGUUCUUUGAAAACUAGAUAACAGAAGUAAUUCACAUUCAAUUAGUAAUGCAAGAUAUCACGUAGUGAUUCUUUUUAACGGUUAAGUUAGAAAGGGCGCACGGUGGAUGCCUUGGCACUAGGAGCCGAUGAA